rnacentral:rRNA from 1 species
CUGCAGCCCGAGUGGUGAUCGAUUUUAUUGAGCCUAAAGCGUCCGUAGCCGGACUAGCAAACCCUUGUGUAAAUUGGGCAGCUUAACUGUCCAAAUUCCGAGGGGACUGCUAGUCUUGGGACCGGGAGAGGUCAGAGGUACUCAAGGGGUAGGGGCUAAAUCCUGUAAUCCUUUGGGGACCACCAGUGGCGAAGGCGUCUGACUAGAACGGAUCCGACGGUAAGGGACGAAACCCUGGGGCGCGAACCGGAUUAGAUACCCGAGUAGUCC